GAUGAACGCUAGCGGCAGGCUUAACACAUGCAAGUCGAGGGGUAGCAUAAAUAGUAGCAAUACUAUUGGUGGCGACCGGCGGACGGGUGCGUAACGCGUAUACAACCUUCCCUAAACAGGGGGAUAAUCUGGAGAAAUUCGGUCUAAUACCCCAUAACAUCAGAGCAGGCAUCGGUUUUGGUUAAAAUUUCCGGAGGUUUAGGAUGGGUAUGCGUAGCAUUAGCUAGUUGGUGAGGUAAUGGCUCACCAAGGCGACGAUGCUUAGGGGGACUGAGAGGUUAACCCCCCACACUGGUACUGAGACACGGACCAGACUCCUACGGGAGGCAGCAGUGAGGAAUAUUGGUCAAUGGGCGGAAGCCUGAACCAGCCAUGCCGCGUGCAGGAUGACGGCUCUAUGAGUUGUAAACUGCUUUUGUACGAGGGUAAAGUGGGCUACGUGUAGCCUUUUGAAAGUAUCGUACGAAUAAGGAUCGGCUAACUCCGUGCCAGCCGCCGCAGUAA
rnacentral:rRNA from 1 species